rnacentral:rRNA from 1 species
GAGGAAUAUUGGUCAAUGGGCGCAAGCCUGAACCAGCCAUCCCGCGUGCAGGAAGACGGCCCUAUGGGUUGUAAACUGCUUUUCCAGGGGGAGAAACUUGCGCACGUGUUGCGCAAUUGACGGUACCCUGGGAAUAAGCAUCGGCUAACUCCGUGCCAGCAGCCGCGGUAAUACGGAGGAUGCGAGCGUUAUCCGGAUUCAUUGGGUUUAAAGGGUGCGUAGGCGGACUAUUAAGUCAGUGGUGAAAUCCUGCAGCUUAACUGCAGAACUGCCAUUGAUACUGAUAGUCUUGAGUUUGGUUAAGGUAGGCGGAAUGUGUAAUGUAGCGGUGAAAUGCUUAGAUAUUACACAGAACACCAAUUGCGUAGGCAGCUUACUGAGCCGACACUGACGCUGAGGCACGAAAGCGUGGGGAUCGAAC